AGAAAAUCCAAUUAUUAGCUGGACAAAGGACCAUCCAGAAUGAAGACUGACUAUGUUUCCCAGGGUUCUUGCAGCAAGGUCUCUGCGGAAACUCUUUAAGUGGCCAGAGUCAGAACAGAGUCACUGUGAUGAAUUCCAAAUGAUUCUUAAACUGAUUUUCCCCCUCAGGGUAAAAAGGACAUGCCCCUCCGUGGUCUGAACUCCAGCUGCAGGGCAAUCUAGCUCCUAACAGGAACCCCAGACCUGGUGACAAAAAUAUUCCUUCAUGGAGGCUAUUUUUGAAAGGCCUGUGAGUCAGAUUUGUAGGGUGCAUCACAAAAAGCCAUCUCCCUUCACCACCUGGAGCCUCAGGAAAUAGAAUAAUCGUGGGCUGUAAGAAAGCUUGGGACAAGCAUGGACAAUUAGAGUCUGCAUGAAGAGCUGACAUUUACUUUUUGUGCCAUUCCUUUGGUCUCUGGCAUCAUAGCACUGCUUCCUUCUCCACAAACAUGCACCAUUUAUUUAUUGUUUGAUGUUGCUUAGGUCAUCUGUGAAUGCUCCAUUCUGCUGAUCGGAAUAAACUUCUGAUUUGCAAUGACUUAUUCUAUUUACUGUUCCAAUCGCUAAAAUGUGGGCAAGGACCAUCUCCUGAGACAGUAGGGCGCCACCAGAAACAAUUCCCUA